GGACUACCCGGGUAUCUAAUCCCGUUCGCUCCCCACGCUUUCGUGCCUCAGUGUCAGAAACAGGCCAGUAGACUGCUUACGCCAUCGGUGUUCCUUCCAAUAUCUACGGAUUUCACUCCUACACUGGAAAUUCCAUCUACCUCUCCCGUUCUCAAGCCUAGCAGUUUCCCAAUAUACUCGACGGUUGAGCCGUCGCCUUUAUAUCGAGACUUACUUUGCCACCUACGCAACUCUUUACGCCCAGUAAUUCCGGAUAACGCUUGGAUCCUCCGUAUUACCGCGGCUGCUGGCAC
rnacentral:rRNA from 1 species